rnacentral:rRNA from 1 species
CUUGCUUAAUUGCGUUAACGAACGAAGACCUUAACCUGCUAAAUAGUUAUGCCAACAAAGUUGGUAGCCAACUUCUUAGAGGGACUAUCGGCAUCAAGCCGAUGGAAGUUUGAGGCAAUAACAGGUCUGUUAUGCCCUUAGAUGUCCUGGGCCGCACGCGCGCUACACUGAUGAAGUCAACGAGUUUAUAACCUUGGCCGGAAGGUCUGGGUAAUCUUUUGAAACUUCAUCGUGCUGGGGAUAGAGCAUUGCAAUG